CCUACGGGAGGCAGCAGUGGGGAAUAUUGCACAAUGGGGGAAACCCUGAUGCAGCGACGCCGCGUGAGUGAAGAAGUAUUUCGGUAUGUAAAGCUCUAUCAGCAGGGAAGAAACCUACCCUCCGGGGUGGCUGACGUCACCUGACUAAGAAGCCCCGGCUAACUACGUGCCAGCAGCCGCGGUAAUACGAAGGGGGCACGCGUUAUUCGGAUUUACGGGGUGGUAAGGGAGGGUAGGUGGCAAGGCAAGUCAGAGGUGAAAACCCGGGGCCCAACCCCAGGAGUGCAUUUGAGACUGGCUGUCUAGAGUGCAGGAGAGGUAGGUGGAAUUCGUGGUGUAGCGGUGAAAUGCAUAGAUAUUAGGAAGAACACCAGUGGCGAAGGCAGCUUACUGGACUGUAACUGACACUGAGGCUCGAAAGCGUGGGGAGCAAACAGGAUUAGAUACCCCAGUAGUC
rnacentral:rRNA from 1 species